GACGAUCGCUAGCUGCGUGCUUUACACAUGCAAUUCGAACGGAGCCGCGAGUCUUCUCUGCCGUGGGUCAGUCCCGAACUUGUGAGUAACACGUGAGGAACCUGCCUCUCACUCUGAGAUAUCUACAGGCAACGGAGUCUCAUACUGGAUAUGACCCACCCUUGCAUGGGGUGUUGGUGGAAAGAUUUAUCGGUGAUGGAUGGACUCGCGGCCUAUCAGCUUGUUGGCGGGGUAAUGGCCCACCAAGGCGACGACGGGUAGCCGGCCUGAGAGGGUGACCGGCCACACUGGGACUGAGAAACGGCCCAGACUCCUACGGGACGCAGCAGUGGGCAAUAUUGCACCAUGGGGGACAGCCUGAUGAAGGGAUGCCGCGUGAGGAAGGACAGGGUCAGCGUUGUGAACCUCUCAAAGUAUCGAAGAAGCGCAAGUGACCGGACCUGCACAAGAAACACCGGCUAACUACGUG
rnacentral:rRNA from 1 species